ensembl:lncRNA
UUUUCCUCUGUGUGAACUGUUUUCACUGUGGCUAGUUUAUAAAGGAGUUGUAAUUUUAUUUUCUUAUUUUUUUAAAUUUUUCAUCUUUUUAGGGCCACACAUGUGGCAUAUGGAGGUUCUCAGGCUAGCGAUGCAGUUGGAGCUGUAGCCGCUGGCCUACGCCACAGCCACAGCAAUGCCAGAUCCGAGCCAUGUCUGUGACCUACACCACAGCUCACAGCAAUGGUGGAUCCUUAACCCGCUGAGCAAGGCCAGGGAUGGAACCUUCAUCCUCAUGGAUACUAGUCAGAUUCAUUUCCACUGAGCCACAACAGGAACUCCAUGUACUUAUAACUUUGAUUUUUUUUUUCCCUUUGGCCCUCCAGUUAUUUAGAAGAAAGAGUAUUUUACUGGUGUUCCCGUCAUGGCUCAGUGGUUAAUGAACCCGAAUAGCAGCAAUGAGGAUGCGGGUUCAAUCCCUGGCCUCGCUCAGUGGGUUAAGGAUUUGGCGCUGCUAUGAGCUGUGGUGUAGGUUGCAGAUGUGGCUCACAUCUGGUGUUGCUGUGGCUGUGGUGUAGGCCAGUGGCUACAGCUCUGAUUCAAUUCCUAGCCUUGGAACAUCCAUAUGCUGCUGGUGUGGCCCUAAAAGACAAAAAGAUUAAAAAAAAAAAAAGGAGUAUUUUGCUAUUUAUUUUCUUUCUUUUUUUGGCCAUGCCUGUAGCAUGCGAAGUUCUUGGGUUAAGGAUCGAACCUGCGCUGCAACAGUGACCCGAGCCACAGCAGUGGCAACACUGGAUCCUUAACUGCUAAGCCACCAGGGAACUCCUAGUAUUUAUUUCCUUAAUAGUUAUAUUUCUUCUUGUUAUUACAUUCUAGUUUUUUAACAUUCAGGUCAGAAGUUUGUGGAAUAUGCAAUUUCUAAAUUUGGGGAUUUAAGGUUUUCUUGGUUUCAAAGUGCCUUAAACACUUUUGUCAAUAUUUUGUGGCAGUGAGAAAUAAAUGUUGAAUUAAAAAUCUAUGUGUCUGUGGGAGUUCCUGUUGUGGCUCAGCAGAGAUGAACCUGACUAGUAUCCAUGAGGAUGUGGGUUUGAUCCCUGGCUUCGCUCAGUGGGUCAAGGAUCCGUGUUGCCGUGAGCUGUGGUGUAGGUCACAGAUGUGGCUCAGAUCCCGAAUGGCUGUGGCUGUGGCUGGCAGCUGUAGCUCUGAUUUGACCCCUAGUCUGGGAACUUCUAUAUGUUGCAGGUGCAUCCCUAAAAAGCACACACACAAAAUUAUGUGUAUGGGUAUAAAUAUAUGUAUAUACAUAUAUUACACACGUAAAAUAUUAUAUAUUAUACAUAUAUAAUCAGGUAUGUAUGUAUAUCUACAUAUUCAAUCAAGUUUAAAAACUGUAUAAAAGCUCUACACAGUAAAGGAAACCACAAAAAAAGACAACCCAUAGAAUGGGAGAAAAUCUUUGCAAAUGAAGCAACAGACAAGGGAUUAAUCUCCAAAAUAUACAAAUAUCUCAAGCAUAUAUAUAUAUAUAUAUAUAGAAAAACAAACAACCAAAUUAAAAAAUAGGCAGAAGAUCUAAACAGACAUUUCUCCAAAGAAGACAGACAGAUGGCUAAAAAGCACAUGUAAAGAUUCUCAACAUCACUAAUUAUUAAAGAAAUGCAAGUCAAAACUACAAUGAGGUAUCACCUCACACCAAUCAGAAUGGCCAUCAUCAAAAAGUCUACAAACAGGAGUUCUCGUCGUAGCUCAGCGCAAACAGAUCUGACUAGUAUCCAUGAGGAUGCAGGUUCAAUUCCUGGCCUCGCUCAGUGGAUUAGGGGUCCAGUGUUGCCGUGAGCUAUGGUGUAGGUCACAGAUGCAGCUCGGAUGUGACGUUGCUGUGGCUGUGGUGUAGACUGGCGGCUAUAGCUCUGAUUCGAUCCCUGGCCUAGGAACCUCAAUGUGCCACGGGUUUGACCCUAAAAAAAAAAAAGAAACAACAACAGCAUUUACUGUUUGUAAAUGAGAGGGUAUGGAGAAAAGGGAACCUUCCUAUACUGUUGGUGGGAAUGUAAGCUUGUGAAACCACUAGGGAGAACAGUAUGGAGGUUCCUUAAAAAACUAAAUAUAGAAGUUACCAUAUGAUCCAGCAAUCCCACUCCUGGGCAUGUAUUUGGAGAAAAUUUAAUUCUAAAAGAUACAUGCACCCCAAUGUUCACUGAAGUGCUGUUUACUAUAGCCAAGACAUGGAAGCAAAAUAAAUGUCUAUUGACAGAGGAAUAGAUCAAGAAGAUGUGGUACAUAUAUACAAUGGAAUAUUACUCAUCCAUAAAAGAAAGUGAAAUAACGCCAUUUGCAGCAACAUGGAUGGAACUAGAGAUUAUUAUACUAAGUGAUGUAAGUCAGAGAAAGACAAAUAUCAUAUGACAUCACUUAUAUGCAGCAUCUAAAAAAAUGAUACAAAUGAACUAAUUGACAAAAUAGACUAACAGGCUUGGAAAACAAACUUAUGGUUACCAAAGGGGAAAAGUGGGUGGGAGGGAUAAAAUAGGAGGGUGGGAUUAAUACAUACACAGUACUAUAUAUAAAACAGAUAACUAAUAAGGACCUACUGUACAGCACAUGGAGGUCUCCUCAAUGUUCUGUAAAAUCCUAUACAGGAAGAAGGAAUGGAUAUAUGUAUAUGCAUAACUGAUUCAUGUUGUCAUACACCUGAAACUAACACAACACUGUAAAUGAAGCACACUCCAAAAAAAUUUUUAAAAACUAUAAUAUUACAAUCUUUUAUAUCCACUUUUAACUACGUAGUUUUCCCAAUUCUAAGAGGCAUUUUGUCAAGUUUUUUUUUUUGCAUUUAUAAAAUAACUCUAUUUUAACAAAAAGCCAGUACCUAGAGAUUUAUGAUUGAUAUAUUUUGAUGACAUAUUUGUAUUUUAAAAUAUUUCUAAAAAGUUGGUAUUUUUUAAAGUCUUAUAUAUGACAAAUGAAUGAAAGAAGAAAUAAAAACUGAAAUGCCACACUAUUAAGAAAUUCUUAAAAAUGAUGUAUAUUCAUAUGAAACUUGAUCCAGGUCCCAUUUGAAAGUUACGACCACAAACCAUAACUUGGACCCAAGAAGUGCCUCCCAGUUACUACAUUUCCCCCUCUCCCUCUGUGGGAGGGCUAUUUUUUUAAUUAAUUAAUUAAUUAAUUAAGUCUUUUUAGGGCCGCAGUCACAGCAUAUGGAAGUUCCCAGGCUAGGGGUCGAACUGGAGCUGCAGUGGCCGGCCUAUGGCACAGCCACAGCAACAUGG